rnacentral:rRNA from 1 species
UACGGGGGGGGCAAGCGUUGUUCGGAAUUACUGGGCGUAAAGGGCUCGUAGGCGGCCAACUAAGUCAGACGUGAAAUCCCUCGGCUUAACCGGGGAACUGCGUCCGAUACUGGAUGGCUUGAGUUUGGGAGAGGGAUGCGGAAUUCCAGGUGUAGCGGUGAAAUGCGUAGAUAUCUGGAGGAACACCGGUGGCGAAGGCGGCAUCCUGGACCAAUACUGACGCUGAGGAGCGAAAGCCAGGGGAGCAAACGGG